GACGGGACCCGCACAAGCGGUGGAUGAUGUGGAUUAAUUCGAUGCAACGCGAAAACCUUACCUACCUUGACAUGUCCGGAAUCCCGAAGAGAUUUGGGAGUGCUCGCAAGAGAACCGGAACACAGGUGCUGCAUGGCUGUCGUCAGCUCGUGUCGUGAGAUGUUGGGUUAAGUCCCGCAACGAGCGCAACCCUUGUCAUUAGUUGCCAUCAUUUGGUUGGGCACUCUAAUGAGACUGCCGGUGACAAACCGGAGGAAGGUGGGGAUGACGUCAAGUCCUCAUGGCCCUUAUGGGUAGGGCUUCACACGUCAUACAAUGGUCGGUACAGAGGGUUGCCAACCCGCGAGGGGGAGCUAAUCCCACAAAGCCGAUCGUAGUCCGGAUCGCAGUCUGCAACUCGACUGCGUGAAGUCGGAAUCGCUAGUAAUCGUGGAUCAGCAUGUCACGGUGAAUACGUUCCCGGGUCUU
rnacentral:rRNA from 1 species